CCUACGGGAGGCAGCAGUGGGGAAUAUUGCACAAUGGGGGAAACCCUGAUGCAGCAACGCCGCGUGAGCGAAGAAGGCCUUCGGGUCGUAAAGCUCUGUCCUAAGGGAAGAAUACUGACGGUCCCUGAGGAGAAAGCCCCGGCUAACUACGUGCCAGCAGCCGCGGUAAUACGUAGGGGGCGAGCGUUAUCCGGAAUUACUGGACGUAAAGGGUGCGUAGGCGGCCUUUUAAGUCAGAUGUGAAAGGCUACGGCUUAACCGUAGUUAGCAUUUGAAACUAGAAGGCUUGAGUGCAGGAGAGGGGAGUGGAAUUCCUAGUGUAGCGGUGAAGUGCGUAGAUAUUAGGAGGAACACCAGUGGCGAAGGCGACUCUCUGGACUGCAACUGACGCUGAGGCACGAAAGCGUGGGGAGCGAACAGGAUUAGAUACCCGAGUAGUC
rnacentral:rRNA from 1 species